rnacentral:ncRNA from 1 species
GUGUUAUAUAAAAGGAGAGAGAGUUAGCACUCCCCUUGAUAAGGAAGGUCCUAGUGGGCUUUACACAUAGAGUUGUUUUAUUUUU